AUUGACCGCUGGCGGCAGGCCUAACCCAUCCAAGUCUGGCUAGCGGCGGACGGGUGAGUAAUAUAUGGGGAUCUUCCUGAUGGAGGGGGAUAACUACUUGACACGGUAGCUAAUACCGCCUACCAUCAGAUUACCCCAUAUGGUAUUAGCUUGUAGGUGAGGGAACGGCUCACCUAGGCGACGAUCCCUAGCUGGUCUGAGAGGAUGAUCAGCCAAACUGGGACUGAGAAACGGCCCAGACGCCUACGGGAGGCAGAAGUGGGGAAUAUGGCACAAUGGGCGCAAGCCUGAUGCAGCCAUGCCGCGUGUAUGAAGAAGGCCUUCGGGUUGUAAAGUACUUGCAGUCGGGAGGCGUUACCGACAGAAGAAGCACCGGCUAACUCCGUGCCAGCCGCCGCGGGAAUUC
rnacentral:rRNA from 1 species